UGUUGGUGGAAAGCGAAGUUACUUUUGACUUUUGUAAAAUAGGUAUUCGUAAAAAAAUAAGUAGCCUGAGAACGAACGGCUGUCGGUUCUCUUGAUCGAAAGUUCGCCUCUUUAAUUUCUGUAAAAUACAAUAUUAGGAAGCAUUUGACGUUCAGCAGGAGAUGUCACUAGACCACGAUAUUGUCAUCGAUCAACCGGCUGGAGAGUUUGUCACCUCUGGAUCGAGGAGCAAUUAAUUCUGGCGAACGACUUCAUGGAUCGGACAGCGGAGCACAAUUCACCGUCAAAUCAAACAUGAGAACACCACGAACAUAGGAAUGCCCUCCGAUGGAGCGAGUAAAAUGGAUUCUUCCGUGGAACAUGGACGGUGACAUUCUAAUUUCAAGUCACCCAAUCGGUUCCAACGUACAAAAAAUUCGAUUGGCAAUGCAAAGCAUCCCGAAAGCGAAGCUAAAGAACAAUCUUCGCCGAAGCAAAAGAAGAAUUUAGUUUGAAUCUGAGGCAGCAUAUCAAUUUUCGUUCUGCCAGUGAUCUUUGACUCUGUGAUCAAAACGAUCGCCCCAUCUUCCACGAAGAUAUUUUAGCAGGCGAUGCUAUGGUCGAGUUAGAGGAUUUUGGAACGUGACCCGAUUUCUGACCCUCUAGUCUCGGGAUGUAAUCAUCGUUUGAUGCCCGGGGGACGAGAACGAAGGAAGACAACAAAGAAGGGAAAGGAUUAUGGACAGAAUGGACGAAGAACCGUGGUCGAGAAUGAGAUUUAGUCGGAGUCCGGGAAUGCAGGGCAACAAUCACGGACGAUUGAAUCGGCCGCACGAGAGAUAUCGAUUGGCAGGACCAGUCGAUACCAUCUUGUUUCGAACAGCGCCGACGAAAAAGGAAGCACAGGCCGUUUGUAAUUCGUUGUAAUUGGUUCUUUCGCUUCGGUUGACUCCAGUUCUUUGCGAGUCUUCGGAUUUAAGAGCCCCGCUUGCGACCAGCGAUUGCGACGACGAUGCUAUUGUCCUCGAGUUUUAAUCCCCGAUCCGUUAGAUUCCAAGGAAUUUCGAAUAAUUGGAUGAAAUUAACUUUACAGAGAAAUCGAUUAGCGAUCGUUUAACAAAAUCUCGAGAUUGAUAAGCGUGUCUGAAAGAUACGAAAGAAGUUCCAAACGAGUAUUUGUAAUUUCUUGGUGUAAUAUCGAACUUUUUUGUUGCAUAGUUGGGAUUAGGUUGGGGUUAGGUUUGUGGGGUUAGGGAACUGUUUUUUUUUUUUUUUUUUAAUAAAUUUUAUAUCGUAAAUACGAUCGUAAAACUUAAUCGCAAUGAUUUAUGGCACGUAAUAUGGUUAUAGUUCUCUGGUUACAAGCAAUAUUUUGUAGCAAUACUUUGAAGUGUAUUGACUCACCACAACGAUAUUUCGCUUCAAACGACUGCUUUUGAUAAUUUUGUUUGACUAAAUCACGUUGUUGAAUUCCGAUAUUACGUUAGUAGAAAAUACAGGUAGAAUAAUGAACGCCAUUGAUUGGUCGAUCAAGUAGAAUUCUAGAAUCAAAUAAAUUACAUUGAAUUCGGUACCGAGAGACAUUUAAAGGUACGGGAGGAAAUAAAAUGAGCAAGAACCGCUAACUAAUUUACCAAAGCAGCCAAUAUGUAUCACAAUCCGUAUAUCCGGCUUGUGUGUACAAUAAUUGUAUGUGUUCUCGAUUCACGCGUACUCGUAUUUACAACGUUGUAAUACAAAACCAGGAUAUACUAUCUUUAGUAACAGCCAAGUCUUGUACACUACGUAUAAUCCACUACUAAUAUACUUUGUAAUGUCA